rnacentral:rRNA from 1 species
ACGAACGCUUGCGACGUGCCUAAGAAAUGCAAGUCGAACGGGGGCUUCGGCCCUAGUGGCGAACGGUCGCGUAACACGUGGGCAACCUGCCCUGAAGUGGGGGACAACAGCUCGAAAGGGCUGCUAAUACCGCAUGUGAAGGGGGAUGGCAUCAUCCCUUGUUCAAAGCCUUGUGCGCUUCAGGAUGGGCCCGCGGCCUAUCAGCUUGUUGGUGGGGGUAACGGCCUACCAAGGCUUCGACGGGUAGCUGGUCUGAGAGGACGAUCAGCCGGAUUGGGACUGAGAUACGGCCCAGACUCCUACGGGGGGCAGCAAUUAGGAAUCUUGCACAAUGGGGGAAACCCUGAUGCAGCGACGUCGCGUGGAGGAUGAAAUCUUUCGGGAUGUAAACUCCUUUUCUCAGGGAAGAAACAAAUGACGGUACCUGAGGAAUAAGCCCCGGCUAACUACGUGCCAGCAGCCGCGGUAAUACGUAGGGGGCGAGCGUUGUCCGAAGUUACUGGGCGUAAAGAGCGUGUAGGCGGGCUUCUAAGUGAGAGGUGAAAGGUUCGGGCUCAACCCGGAGAGUGCCUUUCAUACUGGAAGCCUUGAGUGCGGGGAGAGGCAAGUGGAAUGGUCGGUGUAGCGGUGAAAUGCGUAGAUAUCGAUCGGAACACCCGUGGCGAAGGCGGCUUGCUGGCUCGCAACUGACGCUGAGGCGCGAAAGCGUGGGGAGCAAACAGGAUUAGAUACCCUGGUAGUCCACGCCGUAAACGAUGAGUGCUAGAUGUCCGGGGUAUCGACCCCCCUGGUGUCGCAGCUAACGCAAUAAGCACUCCGCCUGGGGAGUACGGCCGCAAGGUUGAAACUCAAAGGAAUUGACGGGGGCCCGCACAAGCGGUGGAGCAUGUGCAUUAAUUCGUCACUAACCGAAGAACCUUACCAGGGUUUGACAUCUCCGGACAGCCCAUGAAAGUGGGUCUUCCCCGCAAGGGGACUGGAAGACAGGUGUUGCAUGGUUGUCGUCAGCUCGUGUCGUGAGAUGUUGGGUUAAGUCCCGCAACGAGCGCAACCCUCACCCAAUGUUGCCAGCGUUAAGUCGGGCACUCUUUGGGAACUGCCCAUGUAAGUGGGAGGAAGGUGGGGAUGACGUCAAAUCGGCAUGGCCCUUACAUCCUGGGCUUGACACAUGCUACAAUGGCCGUUAAACAAAGCGAUGCAAGACCGCGAGGUGGAGCCAAUCGCAAAAAUACGGUCUCAGUUCGGAUUGCAGGCUGCAACUCGCCUGCAUGAAGUCGGAAUCGCUAGUAACCGCAGGUCAGCUAAACUGCGGUGAAUACGUUCCCGGGCCUUGUACACACUGCCCGUCAAGUCACCUGAGUUGUCUGCAGCCGAAGACAGUGGCCUAACCGCAAGGAGGGAGCUGUCUAAGCUGUGGGGAGCGAGGGGGACU